AGAUUGAACGCUGGCGGCAGGCCUAACACAUGCAAGUCGAGCGGCAGCACGGGUACUUGUACCUGGUGGCGAGCGGCGGACGGGUGAGUAAUGCCUAGGAAUCUGCCUGAUAGUGGGGGAUAACGUUCGGAAACGGACGCUAAUACCGCAUACGUCCUACGGGAGAAAGUGGGGGAUCUUCGGACCUCACGCUAUCAGAUGAGCCUAGGU
rnacentral:rRNA from 1 species